GGAGACGCAGAUACAACGACGGAGGCGAUUUUCAUCAAACUAUUUAGCUGCUGCAAAUCAACGCGGAUGAAUUAACUGAAGAAAUAUCGCGUUCAGUUGAAGAAGUAAGUCCUUUAUACGGUGUCCAAUUAAACAAUAUGUAGUGAGAUGCCUUAGACUUAAUAUUUGACUUAUAUUUGUCGUUUAGAUUGAAGGAUUAAAGCAAUUCCCGUGCGAAUAUCGACGCAGUAUUAAGCACUCGACAAAUUCUACAGCUAGUACUGCCAAAGGGAAAAUCAAAACCCAUGUUAUAUAUGACUUAUCACGCAUAUGAGAAGGCAUUGUCGAUCAUUCGAGAGGUAGGGAAAAGGAAAGAAUAUUUUCAUCCAUGCAGAGAAGAUAAAGUCGUGCUUUUGAUGCUGGUGAAUAUGCCCGAACG